AACGAACGCUGGCGGCAUGCCUAACACAUGCAAGUCGAACGAGACCUUCGGGUCUAGUGGCGCACGGGUGCGUAACGCGUGGGAACCUGCCCUUAGGUUCGGAAUAACUCCCCGAAAGGGGUGCUAAUACCGGAUAAUGUCUUCGGACCAAAGAUUUAUCGCCUUUGGAUGGGCCCGCGUUGGAUUAGCUAGUUGGUAGGGUAAAAGCCUACCAAGGCGACGAUCCAUAGCUGGUCUGAGAGGAUGAUCAGCCACACUGGGACUGAGACACGGCCCAGACUCCUACGGGAGGCAGCAGUGGGGAAUAUUGGACAAUGGGCGAAAGCCUGACGCAGCAAUGCCGCGUGAAUGAUGAAGGCCUUAGGGUUGUAAAGCUCUUUUACCCGGGAUGAUAAUGACGGUACCGGGAGAAUAAGCGCCGGCUAACUCCGUG
rnacentral:rRNA from 1 species